AACGAACGCUGGUGGUAUGCUUAACACAUGCAAGUCGAACGAAUAUUGGAGCUUGCUCCAAAUAAUUAGUGGCAAACGGGUGCGUAACACGUGGGAAUCUACCUGUCAGUACGGAAUAACUUUUGGAAACAAAAGCUAAUACCGUAUACGCUCUUCGGAGGAAAGAUUCAUCGCUGACAGAUGAGCCCGCGCAAGAUUAGGUAGUUGGUAGGGUAAUGGCCUACCAAGCCAACGAUCUUUAGCUGGUCUGAGAGGAUGAUCAGCCACACUGGGACUGAGACACGGCCCAGACUCCUACGGGAGGCAGCAGUGGGGAAUAUUGGACAAUGGGCGAAAGCCUGAUCCAGCAAUACCACGUGAAUGAUGAAGGCCUUAGGGUUGUAAAGUUCUUUUAGUAGGGAAGAUAAUGACGGUACCUACAGAAAAAGCUCCGGCUAACUCCG
rnacentral:rRNA from 1 species